AUUGAACGCUGGCGGCAGGCCUAACACAUGCAAGUCGAACGAGUGGCGGACGGGUGAGUAAUGUCUGGGAAACUGCCUGAUGGAGGGGGAUAACUACUGGAAACGGUAGCUAAUACCGCAUACCAUCAGAUUUGCCCAGAUGGGAGUGGCUUGUUGGUGGGGUAAAGGCUCACCACGGCGACGAUCCCUAGCUGGUCUGAGCGGAUGACCAGCCAUCAUGGAACUGAGACACGGUCCAGACUCCUACGGUAGGCAGCAGUGGGGAAUAUUGCACAAUGGGCGCAAGCCUGAUGCAGCCAUGCUGCGUGUAUGAAGAAGGCCUUCGGGUUGUAAAGUACUUUCAGCGGGGAGGCGUUACCCGCAGAAGAAGCACCGGCUAACUCCGUGCCAGCAGCCGCGGUAAUUC
rnacentral:rRNA from 1 species